rnacentral:rRNA from 1 species
CCUACGGGAGGCAGCAGUGGGGAAUCUUGCGCAAUGGGCGAAAGCCUGACGCAGCAACGCCGCGUGUGGGAAGAAGGCUUUCGGGCUGUAAACCGCUUUCAGCAGGAACGAAAAUGACGGUACCUGCAGAAGAAGGAGCGGCCAACUAUGUGCCAGCAGCCGCGGUGAUACAUAGGCUUCAAGCGUUGUCCGGAUUUAUUGGGCGUAAAGAGUUCGUAGGCGGUCGAGUAAGUCGGGUGUGAAAAUUCUGGGCUCAACCCAGAGACGCCACCCGAUACUGCUUGACUUGAGUUCGAUAGGGGAGUGGGGAAUUCCUAGUGUAGCGGUGAAAUGCGCAGAUAUUAGGAGGAACACCGGUGGCGAAGGCGCCACUCUGGAUCGAUACUGACGCUGAGGAACGAAAGCAUGGGUAGCAAACAGGAUUAGAUACCCUGGUAGUCCAUGCCGUAAACGGUGGGCACUAGGUGUGGGUUUCUAUUAACGAAAUCCGCGCCGUCGCUAACGCAUUAAGUGCCCCGCCUGGGGAUACGGUCGCAAGACUAAAACUCAAAGGAAUUGACGG